CCUACGGGAGGCAGCAGUGAGGAAUAUUGGUCAAUGGACGCAAGUCUGAACCAGCCAUGCCGCGUGCAGGAAGACUGCCCUAUGGGUUGUAAACCUCUUUUGUCAGGGAGCAACGCCGGCUACGUGUAGCCGGACUGAGAGUACCUGAAGAAAAAGCAUCGGCCAACUCCGUGCCAGCAGCCGCGGUAAUACGGAGGAUCCGAGCGUUAUCCGGAUUUAUUGGGUUUAAAGGGAGCGUAGGUGGAUUGUUAAGUCAGUUGUGAAAGUUUGCGGCUCAACCGUAAAAUUGCAGUUGAAACUGGCAGGCUUGAGUACAGUAGAGGUGGGCGGAAUUCGUGGUGUAGCGGUGAAAUGCUUAGAUAUCACGAAGAACUCCGAUUGCGAAGGCAGUUCACUGGACUGCAACUGACACUGAGGCUCGAAAGUGUGGGUAUCAAACAGGAUUAGAUACCCUAGUAGUC
rnacentral:rRNA from 1 species